UACGUAGGGUGCAGGCGUUAAUCGGAAUUACUGGGCGUAAAGCGUGCGCAGGCGGUUUCUUAAGUCAGAUGUGAAAGCCCCGGGCUCAACCUGGGAACUGCAUUUGUGACUGCACGGCUGGAGUGCGGCAGAGGGGGAUGGAAUUCCGCGUGUAGCAGUGAAAUGCGUAGAUAUGCGGAGGAACACCGAUGGCGAAGGCAAUCCCCUGGGCCUGCACUGACGCUCAUGCACGAAAGCGUGGGGAGCAAACAGG
rnacentral:rRNA from 1 species